rnacentral:rRNA from 1 species
AUUGAACGCUGGCGGCAGGCCUAACACAUGCAAGUCGAACGAGUGGCGGACGGGUGAGUAAUGUCUGGGAAACUGCCUGAUGGAGGGGGAUAACUACGGGAAACGGUAGCUACUACCGCAUACCCUCAGAAGUGGCAAGAUGGGAUUAGCUAGUAGGUGGGGUAACGGCGCACCUAGGCGACGAUCCCUAGCUGGUCUGAGAGGAUGACCAGCCACACUGGAACUGAGACACGGUCCAGACUCCUACGGGAGGCAGCAGUGGGGAAUAUUGCACAAUGGGCGCAAGCCUGAUGCAGCCAUGCCGCGUGUAUGAAGAAGGCCUUCGGGUUGUAAAGUACUUUCAGCGGGGAGGCGUUACCCGCAGAAGAAGCACCGGCUAACUCCGUGCCAGCCGCCGCGGUAAUAC